CGGCUACAUCCAGUUGAAACCCCGGCUCUCGUACUAUCACCGAAGUUAAGUAACCUCGAGCCCGGUCAGAACCUAGGUGAGUGACUGCUUGGGAAUACCAGGUGCUGUAA